CAAGCUGUGAUCCCAAUGUCAACCCGACUUAUGUUGGUUCGAAUGUUGGAUAUUAUGCUUGCAAACCAAUCAAGCAAGGAGAACCGCUACUUUCGAAUACUAUUGAUUCAUAUCAUACGGCUUCCAAAAUUGAACGGUGUUCACAAUUGGGACUAUGUUCAUGUAAAGCAUGUGUUGAAAAUUGGCCAACUAUGGAACAUCUUCCAUCCUACAAGAGUCUUGCAAUUAUAUUACCGACAACAAUCAAUAGAGAAUUGAAUUGCUUGAACGUAAAAUUCAAAGAAUGGCAGAAGCUUAUCCAGCAGGGAAA